AUCAGCAAUCGCAUCCACGCAUUCUUCAGCCAAAUUAUAAUAUGUCCUAAUACCCAUCAAUCUAGUUGCAGAUGAUAAGGGUGAAUGACCAUCUCUACAACCUUUAUACAAAGGUUGUUUUCCUGCAUCCAACAUUUCAAAAAAUCUCCUCGAUUCUACAUUGGGUUCUUCCCCUCUAUAAUGAUCAUUUACCAUCUGCUCAGUACCUACACCAUAAUCUACAUCCGGUUCUUCUAACCUAUCAACAGGCUGAGGUUCGCUAGUACUACCAUAUUCAUAACUAAAUUCCCCAUGAAGAUGCCAAACCUUAUAAUUCCAUGUAAACCCUCUCA
rnacentral:lncRNA from 1 species